AGGAACCAAUGGGGCAGGAGGUCACAAGAUGUUUCAAGAGGAAGGAGGGAAGUUCUUCCUUUGUUCUAUUUAUUAAGUUCUGUGCCGGAGUGAAAAGAUCCAGGAAUCACCCACGGUAUAUUCCAGCCCUGGAGCACCCAUGGAGUCGGCACCUUUGAGAGCAAGUCAGUGGAAGAGACAGAAGCAGACCUUCGUUCUGACUCCUGACCCUGUGCCUGAGCCACGCUGCCUUCCCCAGCAUAGAAUACAAGCAGACCAUGUCUCCAGUUUGUCCAGUUCACUUUAAAUUCUAAUCCUGUCCUCCACAG